GGGCCCGCACAAGCGGUGGAGCAUGUGGUUUAAUUCGAUGCAACGCGAAGAACCUUACCAGGGUUUGACAUCCUGCGAAUCUCUUGGAAACAGGAGAGUGCCUUCGGGAACGCAGUGACAGGUGGUGCAUGGCUGUCGUCAGCUCGUGUCGUGAGAUGUUGGGUUAAGUCCCGCAACGAGCGCAACCCACGUCUUUAGUUGCCAGCAUUUAGUUGGGCACUCUAGAGAGACUGCCGGUGAUAAACCGGAGGAAGGUGUGGAUGACGUCAAGUCCUCAUGGCCCUUAUGUGUUGGGCUACACACGUGCUACAAUGGUACUUACAAUGGGAUGCAAAGAGGCGACUCUUAGCUAAUCCCUAAAAUGUACCUCAGUUCGGAUUGUACUCUGUAACUCGAGUGCAUGAAGCUGGAAUUGCUAGUAAUCG
rnacentral:rRNA from 1 species